AGCGGCCGCACCUAAGCAGUUCCCAGCCCCGCCCCUGGCGGCCCGGUUCUGGGCGCCGGGCGCGGGGUGUUUACCAGGUGGCUGAGCGGCUCCGGGCCCCAGCCCCGCCCAGGUAUUCCCCCGGAAAGGAGUUCCGACCCAAAGCUGCCGUCGCGGCCGGGGCGGUCCGGAGCCUCCCGCUGGAGAGUGCGGUCGGGCUCCGGAGGCCUGGGGGUCAAGAUAAGUCUUCUGGAGACUUUGCCCAUGCCCAGGGAAGAGUCUAGAAAGAGGACAUGGCUCCAGAACAGAGGCAAGCAAGGUCUCAGGUGAGUUGCCAUCUUAAUUGAUAGCGGAUAGAUAUUUUUCUUACUCAAGCUUGAGUAAUCUUUUAACACGUGCACAAUAGCAUCAUAAAUUAUUUAUCCUAACUUCCAUCAAUGGUUAUUUAGGUGGUUCUCUUUUUAACUUUGCUGUUAUAAACACCAUCC
rnacentral:lncRNA from 1 species